CACGUAGGGGACGAGCGUUGUCCGGAUUCAUUGGGCGUAAAGCGCACGUAGGCGGAUUUGUAAGUCAGGGGUGAAAUCCCGGGGCUCAACCUCGGAACUGCCUUUGAUACUGCAAAUCUCGAGUCCGGAAGAGGUGAGUGGAAUUCCGUAGUGUAGAGGUGAAAUUCGUAGAUAUUAGGAAGAACACCAGUGGCGAAGGCGGCUCACUGGCCGGUACUGACGCUGAGGUGCGAAAGCGUGGGGGAGCAAACAGGGAUUAG
rnacentral:rRNA from 1 species